AGAAGAAAUAAUACUUAUUACUAUACACAAACUUUUACAUGGGCAUCACCAUCAUAUACCCAUUGCUUCAGAACAGACUAUUAAAAAGCAAAAACAGAACUUCAGCUGAGAAAUUAUACGCCAACUUCUUCUCAAUGUGUUUGUAAUUCCAAUUGCUUGCGAUAUAUCUUAUCUCCAACGAGAUUGAGCAGAAGCAAAAAUGAAGCUUUAUUUAACCUGGCACUCUGUCCCAACUACCAACAAUAGAAGGCAUGACUGAAAUAGCACCAAAAUCAAAUGACUGAAGUUCCUACCCUGAGUAGACAUCAUUUGGCGAUCAAAAGUAUUGGCAUGGAUUUUAUUGUUAAUAAUGACUAAUAAAUAACAUAGAAUCGGAAAAAAACAACAACUGCAUUUAUAUUAGAAGCAGGAUUAUGUAUCACUAUAUAUCCUUCAGCUGCACAAAGUUAUUAUAAUUUCACCAAAACAGGUUUUUAUACUCGGAUGCUAACUUUCACGUGUAACCAGUAGUUGUCCCAUUUUAAGCUCUGUGGCGAUGGUGGUGGAUGUCGAGGAAAAAAACCACAUCAUUAUUGUUGUCCUUGUUCAUUUUUCCAAGAGUUUUUAGCAGCUUCUGCUGAUGAAUUAUCAGAGUCUGCACUUCCAUCUUUUGGUUUUUCGAAAAAAGGAUCCCAUUCGUGAGCUGCAAGCUCAGUUUGCCCUUCAUCCAGCAAUGAAUAUUUCCAGCUGAGCUCCUCAAUAUAGUUAUCAUAUUUUCGAUCUUCAAUGAUGUCUUUUCUUAGCCUUGUAACUCUAUUUAUAACUGCAUCAACUGCUACAUCAAAUGCAUCUUUGAGAGUCUCCAAUUUAGAGCGAGGAUCGGCAUAAAUCAGCCUUGGAAUCAUACUUAUGACAGCCUCCCGCAUUUCCUUCACCUUCUCAGGAGGAAUUUGAUUUAACAUUUCCUCUAUGCUUAUAUUCUUCUUACGAACAUCAUUCUCAGAAAUGAAAACAGAGUAGGCUGAGUAGUUUUUCGGAAGAUGCCAUGUAUACUGUGUGUAGGCAGAAGCAGGGUGGAAAAAGACAGGUAUACAACCAGCCAACAUAGCAUCAAAAGCCGACCUUCUUGUAUAUGAAUCACCUUGAGGUUGCAGACAGAAAAGGGAGCUCUGGAACAUCUUCAUGAUACUGCUGGGAGAGUGACAUUUGCUCUCCCCUGAUUGACCGCACUUCAAUAACUUGCACGCUUUAGACUGCUUGCAUUGGUCAAUGAUCUGCCCCCUGAUUGAUUUAGGGUUCCCAGGCCGUGGUCCACCAGCAAAACAAAAUAACCACUUCCUCUCAAGCUUCCUCAUCCGAUCCUGCCAAGUGAACACUUCAGCAUCCUUUGCUGGAUGGAAAUAUGUUGGAUAUGGGAUGCCAAAAUCAUUUGCAUUCCAU
rnacentral:misc_RNA from 1 species